GAUGAACGCUAGCGACAGGCUUAACACAUGCAAGUCGAGGGGCAGCAUAGAAGUAGCAAUACUUUGGUGGCGACCGGCGCACGGGUGAGUAACGCGUAUGCAACCUACCUAUCAGAGGGGAAUAACCCGGCGAAAGUCGGACUAAUACCGCAUAAAACAGGGGCACCGCAUGGUGAUAUUUGUUAAAGAAAUUCGCUGAUAGAUGGGCAUGCGUCCCAUUAGGUAGUUGGUGAGGUAACGGCUCACCAAGCCGACGAUGGAUAGGGGAACUGAGAGGUUGGUCCCCCACACUGGUACUGAGACACGGACCAGACUCCUACGGGAGGCAGCAGUGAGGAAUAUUGGUCAAUGGGCGGGAGCCUGAACCAGCCAAGUCGCGUGAAGGAAGAAGGAUCUAUGGUUCGUAAACUUCUUUUGCAGGGGAAUAAAGUGCAGGACGUGUCCUGUUUUGUAUGUACCCUGAGAAUAAGGAUCGGCUAACUCCGUGCCAGCCGCCGCGGUAA
rnacentral:rRNA from 1 species